rnacentral:rRNA from 1 species
AUACGUAGGUGGCGAGCGUUGUCCGGAAUUACUGGGUGUAAAGGGCGUGUAGGCGGGGAUGCAAGUCAGAUGUGAAAUCCCGAGGCUCAACCUUGGAGCUGCAUCUGAAACUGUGUCUCUUGAGUGUCGGAGAGGAAAGCGGAAUUCCCAGUGUAGCGGUGAAAUGCGUAGAUAUUGGGAGGAACACCGGUGGCGAAGGCGGCUUUCUGGACGACAACUGACGCUGAGGCGCGAAAGCGUGGGGAGCAAACAGGAUUAGAUACCCUGGUAGUCCACGCCGUAAACGAUGGAUACUAGGUGUAGGAGGUAUCGACCCCUUCUGUGCCGGAGUUAACACAAUAAGUAUCCCACCUGGGGAGUACGGCCGCAAGGUUGAA